rnacentral:rRNA from 1 species
ACGCUGGCGGCGUGCUUAACACAUGCAAGUCGAACGGAAAGGCCCUGCUUUUGUGGGGUGCUCGAGUGGCGAACGGGUGAGUAACACGUGAGUAACCUGCCCUUGACUUUGGGAUAACUUCAGGAAACUGGGGCUAAUACCGGAUAGGAGCUCCUGCUGCAUGGUGGGGGUUGGAAAGUUUCGGCGGUUGGGGAUGGACUCGCGGCUUAUCAGCUUGUUGGUGGGGUAGUGGCUUGCCAAGGCUUUGACGGGUAGCCGGCCUGAGAGGGUGACCGGCCACAUUGGGACUGAGAUACGGCCCAGACUCCUACGGGAGGCAGCAGUGGGGAAUAUUGCACAAUGGGCGGAAGCCUGAUGCAGCAACGCCGCGUGCGGGAUGACGGCCUUCGGGUUGUAAACCGCUUUCGCCUGUGACGAAGCGUGAGUGACGGUAAUGGGUAAAGAAGCACCGGCUAACUACGUGCCAGCAGCCGCGGUGAUACGUAGGGUGCGAGCGUUGUCCGGAUUUAUUGGGCGUAAAGGGCUCGUAGGUGGUUGAUCGCGUCGGAAGUGUAAUCUUGGGGCUUAACCCUGAGCGUGCUUUCGAUACGGGUUGACUUGAGGAAGGUAGGGGAGAAUGGAAUUCCUGGUGGAGCGGUGGAAUGCGCAGAUAUCAGGAGGAACACCAGUGGCGAAGGCGGUUCUCUGGGCCUUUCCUGACGCUGAGGAGCGAAAGCGUGGGGAGCGAACAGGCUUAGAUACCCUGGUAGUCCACGCUGUAAACGGUGGGUACUAGGUGUGGGGUCCAUUCCACGGGUUCCGUGCCGUAGCUAACGCUUUAAGUACCCCGCCUGGGGAGUACGGCCGCAAGGCUAAAACUCAAAGGAAUUGACGGGGCCCCGCACAAGCGGCGGAGCAUGCGGAUUAAUUCGAUGCAACGCGUAGAACCUUACCUGGGUUUGACAUGGAUCGGGAGUGCUCAGAGAUGGGUGUGCCUCUUUUGGGGUCGGUUCACAGGUGGUGCAUGGCUGUCGUCAGCUCGUGUCGUGAGAUGUUGGGUUAAGUCCCGCAACGAGCGCAACCCUUGUUCACUGUUGCCAGCACGUUAUGGUGGGGACUCAGUGGAGACCGCCGGGGUCAACUCGGAGGAAGGUGGGGAUGACGUCAAGUCAUCAUGCCCCUUAUGCCCAGGGCUUCACGCAUGCUACAAUGGCUGGUACAGAGAGUGGCGAGCCUGUGAGGGUGAGCGAAUCUCGGAAAGCCGGUCUCAGUUCGGAUUGGGGUCUGCAACUCGACCUCAUGAAGUCGGAGUCGCUAGUAAUCGCAGAUCAGCAACGCUGCGGUGAAUACGUUCCCGGGGCUUGUACACACCGCCCGUCAAGUCAUGAAAGUUGGUAACACCCGAAGCCGGUGGCCUAACCGUUGUGGGGGAGCCGUCGAAGGUGGGACUGGUGAUUAGG